rnacentral:rRNA from 1 species
UACGGAGGGGGGCGAGCGUUAUUCGGAAUCAUUGGGCGUAAAGGGCGCGUAGGCGGCUUUGUAAGUCUUGGGUGAAAGCCCUCGGCUCAACCGAGGAAUUGCCUUGGAUACUGCGAAGCUCGAGGCUGGAAGAGGACAGUGGAAUUCCUGGUGUAGCGGUGAAAUGCGCAGAUAUCAGGAAGAACACCCGUGGCGAAGGCGGCUCUCUGGGACGGUACUGACGCUGAGACGCGAAAGCGUGGGGAGCGAACAGG